rnacentral:rRNA from 1 species
UACGUAGGGCGCAAGCGUUGUCCGGAAUUAUUGGGCGUAAAGAGCUCGUAGGUGGCGUGUCGCGUCUGCCGUGAAAGCCCAUGGCUUAACUGUGGGUCUGCGGUGGAUACGGGCAGGCUGGAGGCUGGUAGGGGCAAGCGGAAUUCCUGGUGUAGCGGUGAAAUGCGCAGAUAUCAGGAGGAACACCGGUGGCGAAGGCGGGUCUCUGGGCCGAAAUUGACGCUGAGGAGCGAAAGCGUGGGGAGCAAACAGG